GUACGAAAGGACCGGGACGGACGAACCUCCAGUGUACCAGUUGUCCCGCCAGGGGCAGCGCUGGGUAGCUGCGUUCGGCAGUGAUAACCGCUGAAAGCAUCUAAGCGGGAAGCACGCCCCAAGAUAAGAUCUCCCACCCCUUCGGAGGCUGAAGGGCACAGGAAGACUACCUGUUUGAUAGGCUGGGUGUGGAAGCGCGGUGACGCGUGAAGCUAACCAGUACUAACCGCAUAGUCAUUUCAAGUCG
rnacentral:rRNA from 1 species